UAGCAACGGCUGUCAGACUUUCAGGGUAAACAGGGAUUGAAUACCAAGAACCGUAGAAUUUGCACCAUACAGGGAUCCGCCAAUGGAAACGUCCACUGGGAUUUGAUAUUUAUUACUGGGUAUUUUGUUUUGUUUUCAAGGGGUACGAUCACAUCCAGACAUCACAACGAUGACGAAUGGGAAAAAUAAAUCACAACUAGAUGCCAACGGACAACUAGGAAAAACUCGACGUUUACCAAGACCAACGACGAGGUAACCAGACGUUAUUGAAUGAUUGGAAGGGAUACAACCACACGUCAACAGACGAAAUGGGAAAAACUCAACGUUUACCAAGACCAACGGAGAGGUAAAUCCACAUGGGGACAGGUACAACUAGACGUCAUAGGACGAAUAGGAAAGACUCGACGUUUAUCGACACCAACGGAGAGGAGGAAUACUUCACUAGGGAAGAAGGGCACAAACAAAUCAUCAACGGAUGAUCGGGAAAAACUCGACGUUUAUCGAAACCAACGGAGAGGUAACUCUGCAUGGAGAGGGGUACAACUAGACAUCAUCGGAUAACUAGGAAAAACUCGACGUUUAUCAAAACCAACGGAGAGGUAAACAGACAUUAAUGAAUGACUGGGGGGGGCUCGACCAGACAUCAACGGAUGAAUGGGAAUACUCGACGUUUACAG
rnacentral:lncRNA from 1 species